rnacentral:lncRNA from 1 species
GGAGGCGUCUCUCCCAGUUUGUGAGGACCGAUCAAGCGAUCAAACCCUAGCCGCCGCCGCCUCCUCCUCCUUCUCCUCCUCCUCCAGAUCGGCAAUCGGCAUGGCGCUUCGUGCUCUCGCCUCCAAGCUGAGGAUCCCGGCGGCCGCUCCCCGCUGGACUCCUCCGCCGUCUCGCCCCGUCUCCACCGCUCCUAAGGUCCAAUUCAACUCUUUCCCCUAAUAUCGAGCUGUUUGACAUCUACAAUCCUUGCAACGUUUUACUAACUAUUCUUCUAUUUCCUCAUAUAUGCAACUGCAGCGUAAGCUCUCUGCCACCUCCAAAACCUGUUGAAAAAAGUUCUCUCGAUUUUCAGGAAAUGUACGAUGCAGAUGCUUAUGCUUAGUUAAUUUCCUUUGUUUUUCCUUUGUUUGUUGACUCAUGUCUUUUCCUUUAUUUUUUUUCUCUUUUCAAGGCUACUCUUGGAACGGAUUCGUGCACAUCAAGACAGGUUUGCGCGGAACAUGAUGAUUUCUCAAGCAAUUGGUAAUUUAGUUGGGUAUGGCAUCUUUUGGUAUCUUGUCAACGAUGUUUCCAAGAACUUGGCAAAUUGAUCGGGUUCAACAAUGAACCUGUUAUGUAUGGCUUGAUGAAGCACCUGUUAUGUAUCUUCUAAAGGUCCUGAAGAUGAACCUGUUAUGUAUGGCCUAGUAUGUGCUGAUGAACAUGUCUAAUUAUUUUGUAUGGAUGAUGAACCUGUUCAAAUCUUACUAUGUUCUGAUCAACAUGUUGAAUUUGUCUUUACUUUGGCCACGAUGAACCUGUUGUGGCUUGUUUGUGUACUUUUUGGCCAUGAUGAACCUGCUAUGGCUUGCUUGUGUUUUUUUAAUCAAGUAUGAAGCUGC